CGUACACAAAAAUGCACAUGCUGUGAGCUCGAUGAGUAGGGCGGGACACGUGGUAUCCUGUCUGAAUAUGGGGGGACCAUCCUCCAAGGCUAAAUACUCCUGACUGACCGAUAGUGAACCAGUACCGUGAGGGAAAGGCGAAAAGAACCCCGGCGAGGGGAGUGAAAAAGAACCUGAAACCGUGUACGUACAAGCAGUGGGAGCACGCUUAGGCGUGUGACUGCGUACCUUUUGUAUAAUGGGUCAGCGACUUAUAUUCUGUAGCAAGGUUAACCGAAUAGGGGAGCCGAAGGGAAACCGAGUCUUAACUGGGCGUUAAGUUGCAGGGUAUAGACCCGAAACCCGGUGAUCUAGCCAUGGGCAGGUUGAAGGUUGGGUAACACUAACUGGAGGACCGAACCGACUAAUGUUGAAAAAUUAGCGGAUGACUUGUGGCUGGGGGUGAAAGGCCAAUCAAACCGGGAGAUAGCUGGUUCUCCCCGAAAGCUAUUUAGGUAGCGCCUCGUGAACUCAUCUCCGGGGGUAGAGCACUGUUUCGGCAAGGGGGUCAUCCCGACUUACCAACCCGAUGCAAACUGCGAAUACCGGAGAAUGUUAUCACGGGAGACACACGGCGGGUGCUAACGUCCGUCGUGAAGAGGGAAACAACCCAGACCGCCAGCUAAGGUCCCAAAGUCAUGGUUAAGUGGGAAACGAUGUGGGAAGGCCCAGACAGCCAGGAUGUUGGCUUAGAAGCAGCCAUCAUUUAAAGAAAGCGUAAUAGCUCACUGGUCGAGUCGGCCUGCGCGGAAGAUGUAACGGGGCUAAACCAUGCACCGAAGCUGCGGCAGCGACGCUUAUGCGUUGUUGGGUAGGGGAGCGUUCUGUAAGCCUGUGAAGGUGUGCUGUGAGGCAUGCUGGAGGUAUCAGAAGUGCGAAUGCUGACAUAAGUAACGAUAAAGCGGGUGAAAAGCCCGCUCGCCGGAAGACCAAGGGUUCCUGUCCAACGUUAAUCGGGGCAGGGUGAGUCGACCCCUAAGGCGAGGCCGAAAGGCGUAGUCGAUGGGAAACAGGUUAAUAUUCCUGUACUUGGUGUUACUGCGAAGGGGGGACGGAGAAGGCUAUGUUGGCCGGGCGACGGUUGUCCCGGUUUAAGCGUGUAGGCUGGUUUUCCAGGCAAAUCCGGAAAAUCAAGGCUGAGGCGUGAUGACGAGGCACUACGGUGCUGAAGCAACAAAUGCCCUGCUUCCAGGAAAAGCCUCUAAGCAUCAGGUAACAUCAAAUCGUACCCCAAACCGACACAGGUGGUCAGGUAGAGAAUACCAAGGCGCUUGAGAGAACUCGGGUGAAGGAACUAGGCAAAAUGGUGCCGUAACUUCGGGAGAAGG
rnacentral:rRNA from 1 species